GUUUUCACGGUGUCUACUGAAGAAAGAGAGAGAAAGAAAUAAAAAUAAAUCUUCAAGGACAUCUGUAUUUUGCGUGGCCAUUAUUGCAUUGGACCAGUGCAGUUACAGUGUAUUUAGAGAGAGGAGGUUAACCACGUGUGGGCCGAAGAUUAUGACUGCCUCCAAGUGACAUCUCACACAUUCUAAUGAAAUUUCACCACCACCUUGGCUUUCUU